CGCACAAGUUGUAACAAACCUGCAGCAGACUUGUAGCAAUGCUGUUCCAACAACUUGUCAACAGGAUGUGUUCGCACUGCUUGUUCCCAGCUUGUUGACAACUUGCUACAAGGUUGCUGAGCUCAACAGACUUGUUACAAGUUGUUCCAACAACUUGUUACCGUCCUGCAAUGCGACAAUUUGUCAACAAGUUGUGAGUGACAACCUUGUAGCAACUUGAUAAAGUAACACCAUUGU